rnacentral:ncRNA from 1 species
AGAUGUCUUCAGGGCAGGGUGAAAAUCCCGAUCGGCGGUAAAGUCCGCGAACCGAAAGGUUGACCCGGUGUAACUCCGGGACCGACAGUGACGGGCCAUAUAUUUGGCACGAAGUCUGGAUGAAAGAAGAUGUGU